AUGUUCUUCCUUUAUCCCCAUGGUUGUCUAUUUUUCCACUUGAGUACUAGAUGUAUUCUCAAAUCCUUCCUCAUGUUGGUACAUAGUCCUCCUUUCUCAUACUUUGUGGGCGAUUAUACGAGUCUUCUCAUUAAAAAUAGAAACUUGUCUCUUCAUUUAAAAUCAAUUAACAAACCAAGUUUUGUUAUUUUCUAG